GACGAACGCUGGCGGCGUGCUUAACACAUGCAAGUCGAACGGAAAGGCCCUGCUUGCAGGGUGCUCGAGUGGCGAACGGGCGAGUAACACGUGGGUGAUCUGCCCCUUACUUUUGGAUAAGCCUGGGCAACUGGGUCUAAUACUGGAUAGGACCAUGCUGUAGGUGGUGUGGUGGUAAGAUUAGUUUCGGUAAGGGGUGAGCUCGCGGCGUUUCAGGUUGUUGGUGGGGUAAUGGCCUAACAAGGCGUCGGCGGGUAGCCGGCCUGAGAGGGUGGGCGGCCACAUUGGGACUCGGAUACGGCGCAGACGUCUACGGGAGGCAGCAGUGGGGAAGAGUGCAAAAUGGGCGCAAGGCUGAUGCAGCGACGGCGCGUGGGGGAUGACGGCCUUCGGGUUGUAAAGUCCUUUCAGCCAUGACGAAGCCCUUGUGGUGACGGUAGUGGAAGAAUAAGCACCGGCUAACUACGUG
rnacentral:rRNA from 1 species